GACGAACGCUGGCGGCGUGCCUAAUACAUGCAAGUAGAACGCCGAAGGAGGAGCUUGCUUCUCUGGAUGAGUUGCGAACGGGUGAGUAACGCGUAGGUAACCUGCCUGGUAGCGGGGGAUAACUAUUGGAAACGAUAGCUAAUACCGCAUAAGAGUAGAUGUCGCAUGACAUUUGCUUAAAAGGUGCAAUUGAAUCACUACCAGAUGGCCCUGCUUUGUAUUAGCUAGUUGGUUAGGUAACGGCUCACCAAGGCAACGAUACAUAGCCGACCUGAGAGGGGGAGCAGCCACACUGGGACUGAGACAAGGCCCAGAAUUCUACGGGAGGCAGCAGUAGGGAAUCUUCGGCAAUGGACGGAAGUCUGACCGGGCAACGCCGCGUGAGUGAAGAAGGUUUUCGGAUCGGAAAGCUCUGUUGUAAGAGAAGAACGAGUGUGAGAGUGGAAAGUUCACACUGUGACGGUAUCUGACCAGAAAGGGACGGCUAACUACGUG
rnacentral:rRNA from 1 species